rnacentral:rRNA from 1 species
CGCGAUUCGCCCUUGAGUUUGAUCAUGGCUCAGAUUGAACGCUGGCGGCAUGCCUUACACAUGCAAGUCGAACGGCAGCAUAGGAGCUUGCUCCUGAUGGCGAGUGGCGAACGGGUGAGUAAUAUAUCGGAACGUACCCUAGAGUGGGGGAUAACUAGUCGAAAGAUUAGCUAAUACCGCAUACGAUCUACGGAUGAAAGUGGGGGAUCGCAAGACCUCAUGCUCAUGGAGCGGCCGAUAUCUGAUUAGCUAGUUGGUGGGGUAAAAGCUCACCAAGGCGACGAUCAGUAGCUGGUCUGAGAGGACGACCAGCCACACUGGAACUGAGACACGGUCCAGACUCCUACGGGAGGCAGCAGUGGGGAAUUUUGGACAAUGGGGGCAACCCUGAUCCAGCAAUGCCGUUUUUUUUAAGAAGGCCUUCGGGUUGUAAAGCUCUUUUGUCAGGGAAGAAACGGUGAGGGCUAAUAUCCCUUGCUAAUGACGGUACCUGAAGAAUAAGCACCGGCUAACUACGUGCCAGCAGCCGCGGUAA